CAAUAGCGUAUAUUUAAGUUGUUGCAGUUAAAAAGCUCGUAGUUGGAUUUCUGUUGAGGACGAUCGGUCCGCCCUCUGGGUGAGUAUCUGGCUCGGCCUUGGCAUCUUCUUGGAGAACGUUGCUGCACUUCACUGUGUGGUACGGUAUCCAGGACUUUUACUUUGAGGAAAUUAGAGUGUUUCAAGCAGGCGCACGCCUUGAAUACAUUAGCAUGGAAUAAUGAGAUAGGACCUCGGUUCUAUUUUGUUGGUUUCUAGAGCUGGGGUAAUGAUUAAUAGGGAUAGUUGGGGGCAUUCGUAUUUAACUGUCAGAAGUGAAAUUCUUGGAUUUGUUAAAGACGGACUACUGCGAAAGCAUUUGCCAAGGAUGUUUNCAUUG
rnacentral:rRNA from 1 species